AGCAGCCGCGGUAAUUCCAGCUCCAAUAGCGUAUAUUAAAGUUGUUGCAGUUAAAAGCUGUAGUUGAAUAUCAGGCCUGGCGAGUGGGGAUUUUUAUUGGUACGCACCUUCGGGUGUGUUUUAACUGAUUGCCUCAAUUUUUAGUCAGGCCUUUAACUCCUUCUAGGGGAACCAGCGGCUCUUUAACUGGGGUGCGUUUGGGGAUCUAGGACUUUUACUUUGAAAAACUUAGAGUGUUAA
rnacentral:rRNA from 1 species